rnacentral:lncRNA from 1 species
GUCGUUACCCAUGCCCUCAGCAACCAAACAGAAAUAGUCUGGGUGGCUCCCAUCCUGGGUGCCCAUGCUUGUUGCUUUGCCUUGGUGGAAGACCAACCCUGAGUCAUAUCUGGACACCUCCUGUUAUGGACUGCGUGUUUGCGUUCUCCUCCUUAAUUCAUACCCAGAAACCACAACCCCCGAUGGCACGACCCAGAAAGAUGACCUCUCUCUGCUAUGUGAAGAUACAAAGAAAAGCCGGCCGUCUGUACACCAGGAAGCAAGCCCUCCCCAGAACCUGGCUGUGGCAGCACCUGGAUCCUAGCCUCCAGCCUCCAGAACUGUGAGAGUCUGUCAGUGUGAGGACAAGGCCUUGAGCUCAAGGACUGGGAAGCCCACCAGGUGCUUGUGAAACCCCUCGAGAGCCACACUUGUCAACUUCAUGGGCUUGGUAAGCCUCGGUUAACAUCAAUUCCUCCAAAUCUCCAUGUCUCCUUCCUCUUGAGGAUUUCUCCAUCAGCGAUUCCCUCUGUCUUGGCCACUCUUCCCCCUCUCUGUGUCUCCUCAACCCAUCUGUUUCCCAGGUCUCAUUUCAUAUAAGCCACUUCCUCAGGGAGACUUUCCCCAAGCCUUCCUCUGUCCCCAUCUGAUCCCAUCUGUGUUUUGUGUGAUCUGAGGUCAUCAUUCCCUCCACCUUUCCCUCACAGCACUUUUCUCCAUUUGUAAAUGUCCUGGAUAUGUUUGCUCGAUCAUUUGAGUCAUGCCUGUUACGUGAAUAAGAUCAUAGUCAUAUUGUUCUCAACUUUAGUGUACUGAAGAGUCACAUGGUGCCAAUUAGAAU